UCCGAAUUGGUGUAGGGGUUAACAUUGCCGCCUCUCAUGCUUAUGUAAUAAGCGUAACUUGAAACCGCGGCAGCCCGGGGUUCGAUUCCCCGAUUCGGAA